rnacentral:lncRNA from 1 species
UGAGAUUGUGCAGCAGCAGGCACCCCCUUCCUACGGGCAGCUCAUUGCCCAGGGUGCCAUCCCACCUGUAGAAGACUUUCCUACAGAGAAUCCUAAUGAUGUAAAACUCAGUGCUGGGCAACCUGCGUUCUCUGCUACAGAUCUUACGCCAGGAUAUGACUCCAGGAGGUGGCCCAGGUGCCCGCCGUCGUCAGCGGGGCCGCUUGAUGCGACGCCUGGUACGCCGUCUCCGCCGCUGGGGCUUGCUCCCUCGAACCAACACCCCGGCUCGGGCCUCUGAGGCCAGAUCCCAGGUCACACCUUCUGCUGCUCCCCUUGAGGCCCUAGAUGGUGGCACAGGUCCAGCCCGUGAGGGCGGGGCAGUGGGUGGGCAAGAUGGGGAGCAGGCACCCCCACUGCCCAUCAAGGCUCCCCUCCCAUCUGCUAGCACGUCUCCAGCCCCCACUACUGUCCCUGAAGCCCCAGGGCCACUGCCCUCACUGCCCCUAGAGCCAUCACUAUUGUCUGGAGUGGUGCAGGCCCUGCGAGGCCGCCUGUUGCCCAGCCUGGGGCCCCCAGGACCAACCCGGAGCCCCCCUGGACCCCACACAGCAGUCCUGGCCCUGGAAGAUGAGGACGAUGUGCUACUGGUGCCACUGGCUGAGCCGGGGGUGUGGGUAGCUGAGGCAGAGGAUGAGCCACUGCUUACCUGAGGGGACCUGGGGGCUCUACUGAGGCCUCUCCCCUGGGGGCUCUACUCAUAGUGGCACAACCUUUUAGAGGUGGGUCAGCCUCCCCUCCACCACUUCCUUCCCUGUCCCUGGAUUUCAGGGACUUGGUGGGCCUCCCGUUGACCCUAUGUAGCUGCUAUAAAGUUAAGUGUCCCUCAGGCAGGGAGAGGGCUCACAGAGUCUCCUCUGUACGUGGCCAUGGCCAGACACCCCAGUCCCUUCACCACCACCUGCUCCCCACGCCACCACCAUUUGGGUGGCUGUUUUUAAAAAGUAAAGUUCUUAGAGGAUCAU